UGGGGAAUAUUGGACAAUGGGCGAAAGCCUGAUCCAGCCAUGCCGCGUGUGUGAAGAAGGUCUUCGGAUUGUAAAGCACUUUAAGUUGGGAGGAAGGGCAGUAAGCGAAUACCUUGCUGUUUUGACGUUACCGACAGAAUAAGCACCGGCUAACUCUGUGCCAGCAGCCGCGGUAAUACAGAGGGUGCAAGCGUUAAUCGGAAUUACUGGGCGUAAAGCGCGCGUAGGUGGUUCGUUAAGUUGAAUGUGAAAGCCCCGGGCUCAACCUGGGAACUGCAUCCAAAACUGGCGAGAUAGAGUAGGGCAGAGGGUGGGGGAAUUUCCUGGGGAACGGUGAAAUGCGUAAGAAUAGGGAGGAACACCAGUGGCGGAGGCGACCACCUUGGCUCAUAAUGACACUGAAGUGCGAAAGCGUGGGGAGCAAACAGG
rnacentral:rRNA from 1 species